rnacentral:rRNA from 1 species
AUCUACGACCAUGCUGCCCUGAACAAGCCUGAUCCCAUCUGAUCUCAGAAGCUAAGCUGGGCCAGGCCUGGUUAGUACUUGGAUAGGAGGCCACCUAGGAAGACCAGGUGCUGUAGGCG